rnacentral:tRNA from 1 species
CUCGACGUCGCCAAGUGGUCGAAGGCAUCUGGCUGCAAACCAGACGGCGCAAGCCCGCAUCCGUUCGAAUCGGAUCGUCGAGUCCA